CGAGCGGGCCGUGACUGGCGCGCUGGGAUGGGACGGACCAUCGGGGAGCGGCCUGUGAGCGACAAGAGUGCCGUGCGCCUGGGCCAGACCG
rnacentral:ncRNA from 2 species